CGGACAUCACGAACCAGGAUUAAGAAGGCCGGCUAGACUGCGGUUAGAUUGGGUUCCGAACGUCAGCAAGAGUUAGGGUUUAAGUGCGCUACGGGUUAGGGUUUCAUUUAGGGCUACAAAAUAUUGAGCAGAAUCCCAUUUUCUCAAACUCGUCUAGCGCAAGGAAAGGGCGUUCUUUGAAAAUGUAUUUUUCUGCGACGAUCUUAAGGGAAUAGUUGGAAUUGGUAGGCUGGGAAGAUUCAGUGCUGUUGUUUUUCCGAAACGGCAAUGCAGUCUUCCCAGACCCCCCAAUUCCUUCUAUUUCAGUAAGUAUUGUUUUCCUAUCAACGAUGGUAUCUACUCUCUCAUGCUUGAAAUUAUCAAGGGUUUACCUACUUGACUUCGCGGCCUGGGGUUUGCGAUUUAGCCUGGUAGGGUUGGUUCUAUUUAGAAUUAUUCAUUAUUGGAUCUUAGGUUUUGGGUGAUGAUUGUACGCUGCUUCAGCACUAUCUAGUUGGAAUCGAACCGUAGUAGCAAGAUGCUGCAUUGCAGUUACAAAUUCAGAGCAGCAAGAUGCUGCAUGGUAGUUUAAAAUUCAAAGGAGCAAGAUGCUGCAUAACAGCAAAAUGACAGCUACAAGAUGCACGAAACAACACAGCAGCCAAAGGAAGCAAAAAUGAACAGCAGAAUCAUCUCCUUGCUUGCAGGAACAAGAAGCAAGGCUCCAGCAACCUCUAUAAUUCGAGUCAAUCUCAACAAACAAACACACUUUUGUUACCAGGCCAAACUGUUGGCACUGCCUUUGGAAUUGGAUUGUUGCAAUUAUUUUGGAAUUUCUUAAUUUGAACUUACUUUUGUCACCAGGCCCAACUGUUGGCGCUGCCUUUGGAAUUGGAUUGUUGCAAUUAUUUUGGAAUUUGUUAAUUUGAACUACUUUUGUCACUAGGCCCAACUGUUGCAAUUAUUUUAUAAUUUCUUAAUUUGAACUUGAAUGUCCUGUAAGGUUCCGAUACAGGAAAAAAAGACACCGAAAACAUAGCCAAGCAUGUACACCUCCAGAUGAAAUUAAUGAGUUGUGAGAGGAAAGCCCAAGAGGUGUAGUUAUUCAAAACCACACUUGAGGGAAAGAGAGUUGGGAGGGUGACAAAUAGGGAGCAGCACAGUUGGCAAGCAUGUAAAUAAAAUAAAAAAGCAUGUUUUAUAUUCUCCUUUUGGAGUAAAAGGGGUGAAUUGGAGGUGGAAAAAUGAAGGGGAGAAGCUCAGUGAUUGGUGUCUUGAUUUGGAGCAACUUUCCAAGCUAUUAAUUGACGUUGAGGUUGAGCACUUCCAAAAUUUGACGACUUGUUCCAUUUUGCAUAGUUGAGGUCGCAUUUUAAUUUAGAGUUACGUUAAGGAGCCAGCGAGACAUUGGAAGGAAAUGUCUAUAAAUGAUUUUAAGAGAAACAGAUUUGAUACUUAUCAUUGCCAGCGAGACAUUGGAAGGAAAUGUCUAUAAAUGAUUUUAAGAGAAACAGAUUUGAUACUUAUCAUUGUUGGGCUGAUUUUAAGAGGAAAGGAUUGAAUACUUGUCAUUUUGGGCCAUCUUCAAUCCUUUUAAGUUGUAAUGGCAUGGGGGUGGACAACAAACAAAAAAGCUUAGUAGUCACUAGCUAUUGGAUUCUUAGAAGAGGAUAGGUUGAAUUGUUAUUUGAGUUGUUGCCAAGACAUUCAAUUAAUAUUAAUUGGAUCCAGCAUAUCAUUAAAAACUUGAAUUCCUAUUUUAAACAAAUGCUUCCUUUUCACAAUCUU